UUUAAACUAGGGAUUAGAUACCCUAUUAUUUUUAUUAAAAUUUAAUUUAAUUUAAUCAUUAAAUGUAAAUCAUUAAAAAUAAAAAAUUUGGCGGUAUUUAUUAUUUAGAGGAACUUGUUUAUUAAAUUGAUAAUCCACGAAUGGAAAGACUUAAUAAUUUUUUUAUGUAUUGUUGUUGUAAAAUUAUAUUAAUAGGUAUUAAUUAAUAAAUUUAAUUUAAUUAUAAUUCAAAUCAAAAUGUAGAAUAAUUAAGAGUUUAAUGAGUUACAAUUAAGUUAAUUUUAUUGGAUUUUUAAUAAUUUAAUUUUAUAAAUGAAAAUGGAUUUAAAAGUAAAUAUAUAUAAAUUAUAAAUGAA
rnacentral:rRNA from 1 species